AGAUAGUAGCAAUACUAUCGAGUAGUGGCGCACGGGUGCGUAACGCGUAUGCAACCUACCCUUCAGCGGGGGAUAGCCUGGAGAAAUCCAGAUUAAUACCCCAUAUAAUCGGGUCCUGGCAUCGGGAUACGAUGAAAGAUUUAUCACUGGAGGAUGGGCAUGCGUGACAUUAGCUAGAUGGUGAGGUAACGGCUCACCAUGGCGACGAUGUCUAGCUGGUCUGAGAGGAUGAUCAGCCACACUGGCACUGAGACACGGGCCAGACUCCUACGGGAGGCAGCAGUAGGGAAUAUUGGUCAAUGGGCGCAAGCCUGAACCAGCCAUGCCGCGUGAGGGAAGAAGGUCCUCUGGAUUGUAAACCUCUUUUGUCAGGGAAUAAAUCUGUGGUUGCCACAGUUGAAGGUACCUGAAGAAUAAGCACCGGCUAACUCCGUGCCAGCAGCCGCGGUAAUACGGAGGGUGCAAGCGUUGUCCGGAUUUAUUGGGUUUAAAGGGUGCGUAGGCGGCAAUAUAAGUCAGUGGUGAAAGCCGGCAGCUUAACUGUCGAAUUGCCAUUGAUACUGUAAUGCUUGAGUGCAGUUGAGGUGGUUGGAAUGAGUAGUGUAGCGGUGAAAUGCAUAGAUAUUACUCAGAACACCGAUUGCGAAGGCAGAUCACUAAGCUGUAACUGACGCUGAGGCACGAAAGUGUGGGGAGCAAACAGGAUUAGAUACCCUGGUAGUCCACACUGUAAACGUUGGAUACUCGAUGCACGCGAUAUACGGUGUGUGUCCAAGCGAAAGCGAUAAGUAUCCCACCUGGGGAGUACGCCCGCAAGGGUGAAACUCAAAGGAAUUGACGGGGGCCCGCACAAGCGGUGGAGCAUGUGGUUUAAUUCGAUGAUACGCGAGGAACCUUACC
rnacentral:rRNA from 1 species